rnacentral:rRNA from 1 species
CAGGUAGUCAGAGGCCGGUGAGGGGUGGUGGCGUGCCUUUUGUAGAAUGAACCGGCGAGUUACGAUCUGAUGCAAGGUUAAGCAGAAAAUGUGGAGCCGUAGCGAAAGCGAGUCUGAAUAGGGCGUAUGAGUAUUUGGUCGUAGACCCGAAACCAGGUGAUCUACCCUUGGUCAGGUUGAAGUUCAGGUAACACUGAAUGGAGGACCGAACCGACUUACGUUGAAAAGUGAGCGGAUGAACUGAGGGUAGCGGAGAAAUUCCAAUCGAACUUGGAGAUAGCUGGUUCUCUCCGUAAUAGCUUUAGGGCUAGCCUCAAGUGAUGAUUAUUGGAGGUAGAGCACUGUUUGGACGAGGGGCCCCUCUCGGGUUACCGAAU